AAGUCGAACGGUAACAGGAAGNAGCUUGCUUNUUNGCUGACGAGUGGCGGACGGGUGAGUAAUGUCUGGGAAACUGCCUGAUGGAGGGGGAUAACUACUGGAAACGGUAGCUAAUACCGCAUAACGUCGCAAGACCAAAGAGGGGGACCUUCGGGCCUCUUGCCAUCGGAUGUGCCCAGAUGGGAUUAGCUAGUAGGUGGGGUAACGGCUCACCUAGGCGACGAUCCCUAGCUGGUCUGAGAGGAUGACCAGCCACACUGGAACUGAGACACGGUCCAGACUCCUACGGGAGGCAGCAGUGGGGAAUAUUGCACAAUGGGCGCAAGCCUGAUGCAGCCAUGCCGCGUGUAUGAAGAAGGCCUUCGGGUUGUAAAGUACUUUCAGCGGGGAGGAAGGGAGUAAAGUUAAUACCU
rnacentral:rRNA from 1 species